ACAGCUCAGUAACACGUAGUCAACCUAACCUAUGGACGGGAAUAACCUCGGGAAACUGAGAAUAAUGCCCGAUAGAACACUAUACCUGGAAUGGUUUGUGUUCCAAAUGAUUUAUCGCCAUAGGAUGGGACUGCGGCCUAUCUGUUUGUUGGUGAGGUAAUGGCCCACCAAGACUAUUACAGGUGCGGGCUCUGAGAGGAGUAGCCCGGAGAUGGGUACUGAGACACGGACCCAGGCCCUAUGGGGCGCAGCAGGCGAGAAAACUUUGCAAUGUGCGAAAGCACGACAAGGUUAAUCCGAGUGAUUUGUGCUAAACGAAUCUUUUGUUAGUCCUAGAGACACUAACGAAUAAGGGGUGGGCAAGUUCUGGUGUCAGCCGCCGCGGUAAAACCAGCACCUCAAGUGGUCAGGAUGAUUAUUGGGCCUAAAGCAUCCGUAGCCGGCUCUGUAAGUUUUCGGUUAAAUCUGUACACUUAACGUACAGGCUGCCGGGAAUACUGCAGAGCUAGGGAGUGGGAGAGGUAGACGGUACUCGGUAGGAAGAGGUAAAAUGCUUUGAUCUAUCGAUGACCACCUGUGGCGAAGGCGGUCUACCAGAACACGUCCGACGGUGAGGGAUGAAAGUUGGGGGAGCAAACCGGAUUAGAUACCCGGGUAGUCCCAGCUGUAAACUAUGCAAACUCAGUGACGCAUUGGCUUGUGGCCAAUGCGGUGCUGCAGGGAAGCCGUUAAGUUUGCCGCCUGGGAAGUACGUACGCAAGUAUGAAACUUAAAGGAAUUGGCGGGGGAGCACCACAAGGGGUGAAGCCUGCGGUUCAAUUGGACUCAACGCCGG
rnacentral:rRNA from 1 species